GACGAACGCUGGCGGCGUGCUUAACACAUGCAAGUCGAACGGAAAGGCCCUGCUUUUGUGGGGUGCUCGAGUGGCGAACGGGUGAGUAACACGUGAGUAACCUGCCCUUGACUUUGGGAUAACUUCAGGAAACUGGGGCUAAUACCGGAUAGGAGCUCCUGCUGCAUGGGGGGGGUUGGAAAGUUUCGGCGGUUGGGGAUGGACUCGCGGCUUAUCAGCUUGUUGGUGGGGUAGUGGCUUACCAAGGCUUUGACGGGUAGCCGGCCUGAGAGGGUGACCGGCGACAUUGGGACUGAGAUACGGCCCAGACUCCUACGGGAGGCAGAAGUGGGGAAUAUUGCACAAUGGGCGGAAGCCUGAGGCAGCAACGCCGCGUGCGGGAUGACGGCCUUCGGGUUGUAAACCGCUUUCGCCUGUGACGAAGCGUGAGUGACGGUAAUGGGUAAAGAAGCACCGGCUAACUACGUG
rnacentral:rRNA from 1 species